rnacentral:rRNA from 1 species
CCUACGGGGGGCAGCAGUGGGGGAUAUUGCACAAUGGGGGAAACCCUGAUGCAGCGACGCCGCGUGGGUGAAGAAGCGCCUCGGCGCGUAAAGCCCUGUCAGCAGGGAAGAAAAUUACGGUACCUGAAGAAGACGCCCCGGCUAACUACGUUCCAGCCGCCGCGGUCAUAUGUAGGGGGCAAGCGUUAUCCGGAUUUACUGGGUGUAAAGGGGGCGCAGACGGCGAUGCAAGCCAGGAGUGAAAGCCCGGGGCCCAACCCCGGGACUGCUCUUGGAACUGCGUGGCUAGAGUGCAGGAGGGGCAGGCGGAAUUCCUGGUGUAGCGGUGAAAUGCGUAGAUAUCAGGAGGAACACCGGUGGCGAAGGCGGCCUGCUGGACUGCAACUGACGUUGAGGCCCGAAAGCGUGGGGAGCAAACAGGAUUAGAUACCCGGGUAGUC